UACGGGGGGGGGCAAGCGUUGUUCGGAAUUACUGGGCGUAAAGGGCUCGUAGGUGGCCAACUAAGUCAGACGUGAAAUCCCCUCGGCUUAACCGGGGAACUGCAUCUGAUACUGGAUGGCUUGAGUUUGGGAGAGGGAUGCGGAAUUCCAGGUGUAGCGGUGAAAUGCGUAGAUAUCUGGAGGAACACCGGUGGCGAAGGCGGCAUCCUGGACCAACACUGACACUGAGGAGCGAAAGCCAGGGGAGCAAACGGG
rnacentral:rRNA from 1 species